rnacentral:rRNA from 1 species
AUACGUAGGGGGCGAGCGUUGUCCGGAAUGAUUGGGCGUAAAGGGCGCGUAGGCGGCCCGGUAAGUCUGGAGUGAAAGUCCUGUUUUUAAGCUGGGAAUUGCUUUGGAUACUGUCGGGCUUGAGUGCAGGAGAGGUAAGUGGAAUUCCCAGUGUAGCGGUGAAAUGCGUAGAGAUUGGGAGGAACACCAGUGGCGAAGGCGACUUACUGGACUGUAACUGACGCUGAGGCGCGAAAGUGUGGGGAGCAAACAGGAUUAGAUACCCUGGUAGUCCACACUGUAAACGAUGAAUGCUAGGUGUAGGGGGUAUCGACCCCUUCUGUGCCGCAGUCAACACAAUAAGCAUUCCGCCUGGGGAGUACGGCCGCAAGGUUGAAACUCAAAUGAAUUGGCGGGG